UGCAGAAUCCCGUGAACCAUCGAGUCUUUGAACGCAAGUUGCGCCCGAAGCCUUUAGGCCGAAGGCACGCCUGCCUGGGCGUCA
rnacentral:rRNA from 1 species